GAUGAACGCUGGCGGCGUGCCUAAUACAUGCAAGUCGAGCGAACAGACGAGGAGCUUGCUCCUCUGACGUUAGCGGCGGACGGGUGCGUAACACGUGGAUAACCUACCUAUAAGACUGGGAUAAAUUCGGGAAACCGGAGCUAAUACCGGAUAAUAUAUUGAACCGCAUGGUUCAAUAGUGAAAGGCGGAUUUGCAGUCACUUAUAGAUGGAUCCGAGCCACAUUAGCUAGUUGGUAAGGUAACGUCUUACCAAGGCAACGAUCCGUAGCCGACCUGGGAGGGCGAAUGGCCACGCUAUAGCUGAGACAGGAACCAGACUCCUACUGAGGUCGACAGUAGGGAUUCGGGCGCAACGGGCGAAAGCCUGACAGAGCAACCGCGCGUGAGUAGUGGAGGUCUUCGGAUCAAAAAACCCUGUUAUUAGGGAAGAACAAUUGUGUAAGUACCUAUGCACGUCUUGACGGUACCUAAUCAGAAAGCAACGGCUAACUACGUG
rnacentral:rRNA from 1 species